GCCUAGGUCAUUGACUUCUGCAUCCAGGGGGCCUCCUGUCAUCUGUGUGUCCCCCAUGCCACCAUGUCCACAACUGCACAGAGGAAUCUGGGAGUGGAGAUGGAGGUUGGAGCCUGGCAGGGACAGUAUCUCACAGUCCCAUUCUCCCUCUGUCACUGGCUCAUAGGAUCCUCAUGUUGGGACCUGCAGGUCUCUCUCCUCACCCCCUACUCCUGCAUGUAGCGACCUGUCUGUCUCGGGAAACAUCCUGCCAGGAAGGAUCUUGUGUAACACUGAUUGGGUUGGAACUCUUGCUUUGUAGACCAGGCUGGCCUUGAACUCACCUGCCUCUUCUUGCCAAAUUCUGGUCUUAAAGAGCAUCCAACCCAGGAGGAACAACCAGAAGGUGUCCAGACAUAGCCACAUGCCCCUUGGAGGCCAGAUGUCCAUCCUGGGUUAUCAAAUGGAUGAUGGCUGUGGAUCAAAGCCCAAGGCCAAGGGGUCCACCCUGUGUCCUCUGAGCUAUCUGUGGUAGCUUCCAGAAGGAACCCUCACCCAGCUCAGGAGGUAGCGCCUUUGCCUCAGAAGCACGGGGACAUGAGUUCGAUCCCCUGACCCUGCACUGCAAAAGCAGGGUGUGCAACCAAGUAUGACUACAGUGUACGCGGCAAGUGGAACAGGGCUUCAGGAGUUUAAAGUCAUCUAUAACAUAGUAAGCUCAAGACCAGCCUGGCA